CUUGUACUCCCUCCGUCCAAAAAUACAUGUCAUUGAAAUGGAUGUAUCUAGAUGUAUUUUAGUUCUAGACACAUCCAUUUUGAUGACAAGUAAUUCUGGACGGAGGGAGUACUUG
rnacentral:pre_miRNA from 1 species